GUGAAUCAUCGAAUCUUUGAACGCACAUUGCGCCCUUUGGUAUUCCGAAGGGCAUGCCUGUUCGAGCGUCAUUAUCACCCCUCAAGCCCCGUGCUUGGUGUUGGACGGCUUGGUCGUUGCCCCGGCGCGACCCCUCCGAAAGAUAACGACGGCGGCCUGUGGUUCCCCCGGUACACUGAGCUUUUUACGAGGCAUGUGUCGGACAAGGGCGCCCAGGCUCCGGUCCCCCUUUUGCCCUCACCGGCGAAAAACUCACAAGGUUGACCUCGGAUCAGGUAGGAAUACGCGCUGAACUUAAGC
rnacentral:misc_RNA from 1 species